rnacentral:rRNA from 1 species
CCCUUAGAUGUCCUGGGCUGCACGCGCGCUACACUGAUGUGUCCAGUAAGCACCUAACCUCUUCCGAAAGGAACGGGCAACCUUUGCAAAGCACAUCGUGAUGGGGAUAGAUUAUUGCAAUUAUUAGUCUUGAACGAGGAAUUCCUAGUAAGCACAAGUCAUCAGCUUGUGUUGAUUACGUCCCUGCCCUUUGUACACACCGCCCGUCGCUCCUACCGAUUGAAUGUUCCGGUGAGCUCUUCGGACUGCGCGGUCUGCAGUUUCUGCGUUCCGUGCGGAAAGUUGCGCAAACCUUAACAUUUAGAGGAAGGAGAAGUCGUAACA